AACGAACGCUGGCGGCAUGCCUAACACAUGCAAGUCGAACGAGACCUUCGGGUCUAGUGGCGCACGGGUGCGUAACGCGUGGGAACCUGCCCUUAGGUUCGGAAUAACUCCCCGAAAGGGGUGCUAAUACCGGAUAAUGUCUUCGGACCAAAGAUUUAUCGCCUUUGGAUGGGCCCGCGUUGGAUUAGCUAGUUGGUAGGGUAAAAGCCUACCAAGGCGACGAUCCAUAGCUGGUCUGAGAGGAUGAUCAGCCACACUGGAGCUGAGACACGGCCCAGACUCCUACGGGAGGCAGCAGUGGGGAAUAUUGGACAAUGGGCGAAAGCCUGAUCCAGCAAUGCCGCGGGAGUGAUGAAGGCCUUAGGGUUGUAAAGCUCUUUUACCCGGGAUGAUAAUGACAGUACCGGGAGAAUAAGCUCCGGCUAACUCCGUG
rnacentral:rRNA from 1 species